rnacentral:rRNA from 1 species
GAUGAACGCUGGCGGCGUGCUUAACACAUGCAAGUCGAACGAAGUGGCGAACGGGUGAGUAAUACGUGAGUAACCUGCCCUCCUUUAUGGGAUAAGCCUUGGAAACGGGGUCUAAUACCGGAUAAAGGGGGAUGGGCUCGUGGCCUUGCAGCUUGUUGGGGGGGGGAUGGCCUGCCAAGGCGGCGAGGGGUAGCCGGCCUGAGAGGGUGACCGGCCACAUGGAGACUUGGAGACGGCCCAGACUCCUACGUGGUGCAGCAGUGUGGGAUAGUGCACAAUGGGCGAAGGCCUUAUUCAGGGACGCCGCGUGAGGGAUGUAGACUUUCGGGUUGUAGUCGUCUGGCAGACGAGCAUGGGUAAGUGGAGAGGUAGCGCAGGCUGACUUGGAGCCAGCAGCCGCGGUAAUAC